UACAGAGGUCUCAAGCGUUGUUCGGAUUCAUUGGGCGUAAAGGGUGCGUAGGCGGCGCGGUAAGUCGGGUGUGAAAUCUCGGGGCUUAACUCCGAAACUGCAUUCGAUACUGCCGUGCUUGAGGACUGGAGAGGAGACUGGAAUUUACGGUGUAGCGGUGAAAUGCGUAGAUAUCGUAAGGAAGACCAGUGGCGAAGGCGGGGUCUCUGGACAGUUCCUGACGCUGAGGCACGAAGGCCAGGGGAGCAAACGGG
rnacentral:rRNA from 1 species